rnacentral:rRNA from 1 species
UAUCAGAAGUGCGAAUGCUGACAUGAGUAACGAUAAAGCGGGUGAAAAGCCCGCUCGCCGCAAACCCAAGGUUUCCUGCUCUACGUUAAUCGGAGCAGGGUGAGUCGGUUCCUAAGGCCAGGCUGAGAAGCGUAGCUGAUGGAAAUCAGGUUAAUAUUCCUGAACCGGCGUUGAAUGCGAUGGGGUGACGGAGCAGCCAGAGUGGACCGGGUGUUGGAUGUCCCGGCUUCCGAGCGAUGGGUGCCUGCAGGCAAAUCCGCAGGCGUAUACCCAGGACGAAGGAUCGGGUCUUCUUUUGAAGACGAAGCCACUGGAAGCGCUUCCAGGAAAAACCUCUAAGCUUCAGUUCAACGGCGACCGUACCGUAAACCGACACAGGUGGGUGAGCUGAAUAUGCUCAGGCGCUUGAGAGAACUCGGGAGAAGGAACUCGGCAAAUUGACACCGUAACUUCGGAAGAAGGUGUGCCUUUGUAGCUUGAUGGGAGAGAAACCCAAAGGGCGAAGAGGUCUCAGAGAAUCGGUGGCUGUAACUGUUUACUAAAAACACAGCGCUCUGCAAAGAUGAAAGUCGACGUAUAGGGCGUGAUGCCUGCCCGGUGCUGGAAGAUUAAUUGAUGGGGUGCAAGCUCCUGAUCGAAGUCCCAGUAAACGGCGGCCGUAACUAUAACGGUCCUAAGGUAGCGAAAUUCCUUGUCGGGUAAGUUCCGACCUGCACGAAUGGCAUAACAAUGGCCACACUGUCUCCUCCCGAGACUCAGUGAAAUUGAAAUGUUUGUGAUGAUGCAAUCUCCCCGCGGCUAGACGGAAAGACCCCAUGAACCUUAACUGUAGCUUUGCAUUGGACUUUGAACCGAUCUGUGUAGGAUAGGCGGGAGGCUUUGAAGAAUGGACGCCAGUUCAUUCGGAGCCGUCGUUGAAAUACCGCCCUGAUUUGUUUGAGGUUCUAACCUGGGCCAGUAAUCCUGGCUGGGGACCGUGCAUGGUGGGCAGUUUGACUGGGGCGGUCUCCUCCUAAAGGGUAACGGAGGAGUGCGAAGGUACGCUAAUCACGGUCGGAAAUCGUGAGGAUACUGCAAUGGGAAAAGCGUGCCUGACUGCGAGACAGACAAGUCGAGCAGAUGCGAAAGCAGGUCAUAGUGAUCCGGUGGCUUCUGCAUGGAAGGGCCAUCGCUCAACGGAUAAAAGGUACUCUGGGGAUAACAGGCUGAUACCGCCCAAGAGUUCAUAUCGACGGCGGUGUUUGGCACCUCGAUGUCGGCUCAUCUCAUCCUGGGGCUGUAGCCGGUCCCAAGGGUAUGGCUGUUCGCCAUUUAAAGAGGUACGUGAGCUGGGUUUAAAACGUCGUGAGACAGUUUGGUCCCUAUCUACCGCGGGCGCUGGAAGAUUGACAGGGGCUGCUCCUAGUACGAGAGGACCGGAGUGGACGCACCUCUGGUGUAUCGGUUGUGACGCCAGUCGCAUUGCCGAGUAGCUAUGUGCGGAAGAGAUAACCGCUGAAAGCAUCUAAGCGGGAAACUUGCCUGAAGAUUAGUCUUCCCGGAGGCUUGACCUCCCUGAAGGGUCGUCCGAGACCAGGACGUUGAUAGGCCAGGUGUGGAAGCGCUGUGAGGCGUGAAGCUAACUGGUACUAAUUGCCCGUGCGGCUUGAUCCU